rnacentral:rRNA from 1 species
GACGUAGGGCGCGAGCGUUGUCCGGAUUUAUUGGGCGUAAAGAGCUCGUAGGCGGCUUGUCGCGUCGUUCGUGAAAACUCACAGCUCAACUGUGAGCUUGCGGUCGAUACGGGCAGGUUAGAGUUCGGUAGGGGAGACUGGAAUUCCUGGUGUAGCGGUGAAAUGCGCAGAUAUCAGGAGGAACACCGGUGGCGAAGGCGGGUCUCUGGGCCGAUACUGACGCUGAGGAGCGAAAGCGUGGGGAGCGAACAGG